AUGAAAAAAGAAGAAUAAGAAAAAAAGCAUCAUCUGAACAUCAACAGUAAAAAAACUAAAUUACAAACGGCCCAAAAUGUUGCCACCUAAUUAAACCAUUUUCCUGGAAUUGCCACCGAGAACGAGUCUGAAAUCAACACAAAGGAAUGAUCAGCAGCAGCGGAGUGAAGGAAGUAAAGGCGACAAAUGCAAUUAUUAUGCAAAGGCGGCCUCAACUCAGGCCGAAGAUCUUAGUCGGAAGGCCAUACUGGAACAGGACCAUCAAUUCUUCAUUGUCACCUUUAACAUGCGCAAGCGGUUUGGAUCUGGAAGAGCCAAAGUGCUAGAGGAAGCGGAAACUAAACCGGUAUUUGCCAUCUGGAGGAUAGAAUGUUUCCGAAUGCCAGCGACUAUGAUGGAAAAAGAAUCCAAAUGUUCCGACAGCAAGAGGCACUACCUAUACGUAGCCUGAGUCCAGCCGAUCUGGAAACAUCGGGAACUCGAACACGUACAUCAUACGGGCCCGUGUAAUCAUGAUUCCGGCUACUGAUCAUGCAAAAUUAUAUUUUGUGGCUGUCCGAGAUUAUGGUAUUCCCGGUGCUGAAAAUGCUGCCCCGUUUAGGAGAAUUCUAUAUAAUUUUAUAUUUAAAGAAUUGAAAGUAUAUUUAUUAUAAAAUUCAUUA